CGGGCAAAACUCGCGGCCCGCUGGGCGUUGGGGUCCGAGCGAGUCUGGAAGGCGCGCCUGGGGCUGUGAUGAAGCCGGAGGCUGCACUGAGCAGAAGGAAGGUCCAGUCUGAAGGCCUGCGGGGCGCGGGGAUGAGCGCCGAAGACUGCGGGAGGACGCGCGCAGGCGUCCGGGUUCUGAGUUGAGGAUAACCAGAAGACAGUCUGAUGUGUCAAAGGAAAGUGUCACCUCAGCAGUCCCACCUGUUAUCACCUCCAGCUGCCACUGAGUUGGAUCCUGGUGCAAUGCUUACCAGUAUGCCACCAGCUUAAGGGCCUCAUCAAAAGAACAGCACCAUCUUACAUCGCCAGCCUUUGUUUUGGAUUACUGGACACGGCAGAUACUAUCUGGCACAGGGAAGCUAUUUGUGGCCUUGGAAACUCUUUCCUUUUACCCCAUCUUCCUUUUGUUAAUAAACCCGAUUUUUG